UAGUAGCAAAUAUUCAAAUGAGAGCUUUGAAGGCCGAAGUGGAGAAAGGUUCCAUGUGAACAGCAGUUGGACAUGGGUUAGUCGAUCCUAAGAGAUAGGGGAACUCCGUUUAAAAGUGCCCAAUCGCGGGCCAGCCUAUCGAAAGGGAAUCGGGUUAAUAUUCCCGAACCAGAACGUGGAUAUUCCAGCCUUAACCUGUUGGAGCAGCGGCAACGCAACUGAACUCGGAGACGUCGGCGAGAGCCCUGGGAAGAGUUCUCUUUUCUUGUUAACGAGCUGACACCCUGGAAGCAGUUUGCCUGGAGAUAGGGUUUAAUGCUCGGUAAAGCACCACACUUCUUGUGGUGUCCGGUGCGCUCUCGACGGCCCUUGAAAAUCCGAGGGAGUGGUUAAUUUUCACGUCUGUUCGUACUCAUAACCGCAGCAGGUCUCCUAGGUGAGCAGCCUCUGGUCGAUAGAACAAUGUAGGUAAGGGAAGUCGGCAAAAUAGAUCCGUAACUUCGGGAAAAG
rnacentral:rRNA from 1 species